GGUCAGCAUAAUUACCUAUGAGUCAGUAAUGUGGUUGUGAACAAAGAAUGUGUUGAUUCUAAUGAGGAACAGUAUUCCGGUUAAUGAGUGCCUCCCUACUAUUUAUUUAUAAAUCUCCUUAAUAUUUGUGUUAUUUCCAGUUUCUGAGUGUGAAAAAUAUAGCUUCUACUUGGCCUGGAGAUGUAGGCAUCCCAUAAAAAAUAUAUAAUUUUUACAACAACUAACCUUACUGAGCUGCAAAUCAGCACAUUUUCUUUAAUACAUGAGUUAUAGGACAAAAAAGAGACUUUACAUCUUGAGAAAGUCAGUGACUUUCAGGUAUAAACAGGAAGAGAAUCUGACCUUAUCUGGGGCAGUGUCCAGCAAAUGUCAGAGAAGCUAAUGCAAGACUAAAUUAGACAAAUUUACUGGAUUGUUUACAAUUGAGAAUAAUAAAGAAGCUGUUGUUUAAAUUAUCAGAGCACAUACGACUGAGGGACUUCUACUGCUAUUGAAACCUUUCUCCCGGGAUUGAGGACACAUCACAAAAAUCUCCACGCCCUCCCUCCUGAGAUGGUUCUGCCUGGGCAAGCAGAGCAGGAGCUGUGGCCGAAAUGCAUCCAGACACACCUCCCCUGCCACCACUACAUUACCAAAGAAUUAACAUGCAGGGGCAAAGCCACUAACAUCUCUGUGUUACUGGCACUGGAGGAACUCAGAGAAACUGUGUUAGAAGAAAGAAAAGCUCCAAAGCUCUGUCCAUUCUCUCAUGAAUGACAGACUUAGGUCCCACCUCCUCUCUUUAUCCUCAGGAAAAGCAGCCUGAUCCUGCUGGGAAGGGCAGAAAAGAGGAAGCUGAAGACAGCAGUGGUAAGAGAUAGUGGCUGCUGGAAGAAGAUCUGGGGAAAAACAAGGAGACACUCUACCUAGAAAUGGGAGGAAGAUGCAUGGAUCAGCGUCACACCUGCAGGAGGGGCAGGGAUACUUGGAAGGACACACGCUGAGCCAGGACGGCGAUGUCUGCCUGGAGUAUGGCUCCCUCAGAAGGACAGAGAGUGCCUGUUUGCUGCAGUCCUUCCCACCACAUUGACAACUGUCAGGUCCUUGUGGCUCUGGCAUGAACUGGGGGAGAUGAAAGUCAGAGUCUCCCUGGAUAGCACAAUUUAAGGACCAAAGCCAAGAGGGAAACAAAAUUAAGGUGUCACUGGAGGAAUCCGAGUGUCUGGUGACUGCAGAGGAAAUGCACUUCAAUUCUGGCAGCCACUGCAGUCAUGACUUUCAAAUGUAGCCCUGAGUAGUUUCACACACUUUUCUACAAUAAAGGCCUAGAAGAGAUAGGGUGUGAUCAUUUGUGAAAAAAUGCAAAAAUUAUAAAACAAAUAAUUAGCUGUCAUCCGGAAUCUGAUAGGAGUAUCUGUGGAACAUAAAGUUUGAAAUAACUGGUGUGCCCCGGCUGUCGUGGGUUCCGGCGAGCGUGCGGGGAUGAGCGGGUUCCUCGGCCCAGCGGCGGCGGCUCUGCUCCGCUGGGGGCGCGGCACGGGCGGCGGUGGCCUUUGGGGUCUGGGCGUGCGGGCGGCGGCGGCUCGGCGGAGCAGCUGGACGCGCUGGUGAAGAAGGACAAGGUGGUGGUCUUCCUCAAGGGGACGCCGGAGCAGCCCCAGUGCGGCUUCAGCAACGCCGUGAUGCAGAUCCUGCGGCUGCACUGCGUCUGCGACUACGCGGCUUACAACGUGCCGGACGACCCCGAACUCCGACAAGGCAUUAAAGACUAUUCCAACUGGCCCACCAUCCCGCAAGUGUACCUCAAUGGCGAGUUUGUGGGGGGCUGUGACAUUCUUCUGCAGAUGCACCAGAAUGGGGACCUGGUGGAAGAACUGAAAAAGCUGGGGAUCCACUCUGCCCUUUUAGAUGAAAAGAAAGACCAAGACUCCAAGUGAGGGCGGCCAGGUCCUCACUGAGCAGAGAGGGAGCCGUUCACGUCAGAGACUCACUGCCAGAAAAGCCUUACCCAUUUUGGUUUUCACUCUUGAGACCGCAGCUGCUUGCACUGAUCAUUUUGGUUCGUGAGCAGUUGGGUGAUUUUAGUUUGUCUGGUGUUUGGGCUAAGAAUAUUUUAUUGUGGACUUAAUUCCAACCACCGCACUGUAAUGAUUCAAUGCUGUAUUAUGAGAUUGCUGUAAACAAAAUUCAUUCUUGUAUUGUCGCUUAUUCUUUGCCUGAUUCAGGAGUUAAGUAGGAGCUUUGGAAUCAUUAUUCAUGACCCCUCUGCAAAUGUGUCAGUCUCCAAAGACAGUAUCUCCCCCCAGAUUUUGUGUUGCUUCUUUUGUUACGGAAAAUGAUGGACAAAAAAAGAAACUGGGAUAACUGAGGCGUUGGCGUUGUUUUUUAAAAUAAACUCCAGCACAGGGAUGCUGUGCGUGCCUAAGUUAAUUCUGAAGUG